GGGGGUAUAGCUUAGUGGUAGAGUGUUUGACUAUAGCUCAAAUAGUCCUUGGUUCAAAUCCAAGUGCUCCUU